CAGCCGCCACGGUAAUACGGAGGGUGCAAGCGUUAAUCGGAAUUACUGGGCGUAAAGCGCACGCAGGCGGUCUGACAAGUCAGAUGUGAAAUCCCCGGGCUUAACCUGGGAACUGCAUUUGAAACUGUCAGGCUGGAGUCUUGUAGAGGGGGGUGGAAUUCCAGGUGUAGCGGUGAAAUGCGUAGAGAUCUGGAGGAAUACCGGUGGCGAAGGCGGCCCCCUGGACAAAGACUGACGCUCAGGUGCGAAAGCGUGGGGAGCAAACAGGAUUAGAUACCCGAGUAGUCCCUGUCUCUUAUAC
rnacentral:rRNA from 1 species